rnacentral:rRNA from 1 species
UCUCCGUUGGUGAACCAGCGGAGGGAUCAUUAAAGAGUUGCAAAACUCCCACAAACCAUCGCGAACGUUACCACACAUAAGUUGCUUCGGCGCGCCGCUCCUGGGUCACACCGGGGCGCCGCCGGAGUGGCCGUAUACAAACUCUUAUUAUAAACUAGUUACAUCUGAGUACUAUACUUAAUAAGUAAAAACUUUCAACAACGGAUCUCUUGGUUCUGGCAUCGAUGAAGAACGCAGCGAAAUGCGAUAAGUAAUGUGAAUUGCAGAAUUCAGUGAAUCAUCGAAUCUUUGAACGCACAUUGCGCCCGCCAGUAUUCUGGCGGGCAUGCCUGUUCGAGCGUCAUUUCAACCAUCAAGCUCUGCUUGUGUUGGGGCCCCUGCGGCUGUCCGCAGGCCCUUAAAACCAGUGGCGGGCUCGCCUACACUCCGAGCGCAGUAGCACAUCUCGCUCAGGUCGUGUGGUGGGUUUCCGGCCGUAAAACACCCCCCUUCUGAAAGGUUGACCUCGGAUCAGGUAGGAAUACCCGCUGAACUUAA